CCCCGACUUUUGGGAGGGGCGCAUUUAUUAGAUAAAAGGCUGACGUGGGCUCUGCUCGCUGAUCCGAUGAUUCAUGAUAACUCGACGGAUCGCAUGGCCUUUGUGCCGGCGACGCGUCAUUCAAAUUUCUGCCCUAUCAACUUUCGAUGGUAGGAUAGGGGCCUACCAUGGUGGUGACGGGUGACGGAGAAUUAGGGUUCGAUCGAUUCGGAGAGGGGAGCCGCCUGAGAAACG
rfam:Hordeum vulgare subsp. vulgare, WGS project CAJW01000000 data, contig: morex_contig_1531136